CAAACGAGUUGUGCUCCUGCGGGUUUUAACCAAUUUUUCUCAAAUUUUCACAGGACAUAGCUAAAUACGUCAGUUUCAAAAUUGUGUUCGGCUUUUUUUUUAAUUUUGGAUAUUUUAAAAAUAAAGAGCAAUUCACUCAAACAAUUCAGAAAUAUAUUGCAGUCGUCAAAGAAAUCGCCAUAUCAGCGGAAUGACGAAAUAAACAAAAAUUUCCG
rnacentral:lncRNA from 1 species